UUAGCAGGUUCCAACAAGGGCCAUCCCCAGUGGCCUAGUGUAAGUUCAGUGUGCUGUGCUUCAGUGGCCUGGGUUCGGUUCCCUGGCAUGGGCAUACACCUCUCAU